rnacentral:lncRNA from 1 species
AUGAACUGGUCGUGGUCCAAGCCUGCAAUCCCAGCACCCAGGAGGAUGAAGCAGGAGAAUCCUUGUGAAUUCAGGGCCAGCCUGGGCUACUUAGCAAGACCCUGUUUCAAAAAACAAAAACAAAACAAAGCAACACAACAACAACGACAGCCUGGGGCAGAGCAGGAUUCACAUGACUCUGGGUCCGGCUGGUUGUGCAGAAAGCAAGAUCAGAAGCCCUCACUGCAGGUUCCGUGGACUGGCCUGCAGUUUGGAUCGGAGCUUGGGGCAUGCAGCGGCCAGCGUCUACGGUGAAAAGUGAAUGAGAGGCAGCCUCCCCGCCUGAUGAAUUAUGCGACGUGGAGACGCAGGAGGGCCGUGGGAGUAACCCGGCUCCUCCUUUCGGUCUUCUUGGCACCUCUGUGCCAGGAGGAGAUCGCUCCCUUCUCCUCGACCCUCCUCUGAGUUUGGACAGGAGCUCAAGAUAGACCUAAACGCAGCUCGCUGCGGCUCUGGACGCCCGGCCGGCGGCUGGGAGGGCCUUGACUAUCACAGCGCUGCUGCGAUCAGAGGCCACAGCAUUUGGCCAGGGCUACCACAUUUCAUGCCUG